GACUUGAUGCUCCGAGUGGUUAAGGGGCAGGACUUGAACCAAUUACUUCUGGACCAUAUCCUGUGUCGAAAGACGCGCAGGUUCGAACCCUGCUCAAGUCG
rfam:Kwoniella heveanensis BCC8398 unplaced genomic scaffold supercont1.5, whole genome shotgun sequence.